rnacentral:ncRNA from 1 species
GGGGAUAUGGCGAAAUCGGUAGACGCUACGGACUUAAUUGAAUUGAGCCUUGGUAUGGAAACUCACUAAGUGAUAACUUUCAAAUUCAGAGAAACCCUGGAAUUAAUAAAAAGGGGCAAUCCUGAGCCAAAUCCCGUUUUCCGAAACCAAAGGUUCAGAAAGUGAAAAGGGGAUAGGUGCAGAGACUCAACGGAAGCUGUUCUAACAAAUGGAGUUGGCUGCAUUAGUAGAGAAAUCUUUCCAUCUAAAAUUCCGAAAGGGUAAAGUGAAGGAUAAACGUAUAUAUACGUAUUGAAUACUAUGUCAAAUGAUUAAUGACGACUCGACUUAAUCUGUAUUUUUUAUAUGAAAACGGAAGAAUUGGUGUGAAUAGAUUCCACAUUGAAGAAAGAAUCGAAUAUUCAUUGAUCAAAUGAUUCACUCCAUAGUCUGAUAGAUCUUUUCAAGAAUUGAUUAAUCGGACGAGAAUAAAGAUAGAGUCCUGUUCUACAUGUCAAUGUCGGCAACAAUGAAAUUUAUAGUAAGAGGAAAAUCCGUCGACUUUAAAAAUCGUGAGGGUUCAAGUCCCUCUAUCCCCAA